GAUGAACGCUGGCGGCGUGCUUAACACAUGCAAGUCGAACGGAAAGGCUCCUCUUUCCCCUGGUCCUCGCGUGGCGAACGGGUGAGUAACACGUGGUUGAUCUUCCCUGCACUUCGGGAUAAGCCUGGGAAACUGGUUCUACUACCUGCUAGUACGAUGGUUUGGAUGCCAUUGUUGGGACUUUUUCGGUUUGGGUUGAGCUCGCGGCCUAUCCGCUUGUUGGUGGGUUAAUGGCUUACCAAGCCGUCGACGGGUAGCCGGCCUGAGAGGGUGUACGGCCACAAUGGGACUGAGAGACGGACCAGAGUGCAACGGGAGGCAGCAGGGGGGAAUAUUGCACAAUGGGGGCAAGCGUGAGGAAGAGACGCCGCGUGGGGGAUGACGGCCUUCGGGUGGUAAACGCCUUUCGCUAGGGACGAAGCGGAAGUGACGGUACCUGGAGAAGAAGCACCGGCUAACUACGUG
rnacentral:rRNA from 1 species